AUUGAACGCUGGCGGCAGGCUUAACACAUGCAAGUCGAGCGGAGAUGAGGUGCUUGCACCUUAUCUUAGCGGCGGACGGGUGAGUAAUGCUUAGGAAUCUGCCAUUUAGUGGGGGACAACAUUCCGAAAGGAAUGCUAAUACCGCAUACGUCCUACGGGAGGAAGCAGGGGAUCUUCGGACCUUGCGCUAAAUGAUGAGCCUAAGUCGGAUUAGCUAGUUGGUGGGGUAAAGGCCUACCAAGGCGACGAUCUGUAGCGGGUCUGAGAGGAUGAUCCGCCACACUGGGACUGAGACACGGCCCAGACUCCUACGGGAGGCAGCAGUGGGGAAUAUUGGACAAUGGGCGGAAGCCUGAUCUAGCCAUGCCGCGUGUGUGAAGAAGGCCUUUUGGUUGUAAAGCACUUUAAGCGAGGAGGAGGCUACUAGUACUAAUACUACUGGAUAGUGGACGUUACUCGCAGAAUAAGCACCGGCUAACUCUGUGCCAGCAGCCGCCGUAA
rnacentral:rRNA from 1 species